UAUUUUAUGGUAUUAUUAUGGCCAGAAUACCAAGAAUUUGCCCUUCAGAUUUGGCAGCCUUUGUGAGCUCCUUUCAACGGUAGGGGGCAGCAGGUUGGCACUACAAAGAAAUUGAACCUGGAGGGAAUAGCGCCAAAAAUAGAGUUCUCCACAAGAACAACCAUUACAGAGCUUCCACUUCAGCGCAGAGAGAAGAAUUAUGCCCAAAACAGAACAAGGAAUCAAAGAUCUGGAUCUGCAUCACCCAAACGAAGGAACAGGUCAUUAACACAAUGCAAGACAUCAGUGAAAAGGGUGGACAGUUCCAAAUCAUUCAGUGAAGUAACCUCACCAUUGCCUUACUGUAAUGUGAAGAAAAGUGUGAGAUCAGCAAGAGAUACUCCCAAAUUUCAUGUGAAACGAACUUUAACUUUUGAUAACUGCGAAACAUCAAAUACCUCAGUUAAGGUAAUUUAA
rnacentral:lncRNA from 1 species